CUUGUUGGUGGGGUGAUGGCCUACCAAGGCGUCGACGGGUAGCCGGCCUGAGAGGGUGACCGGCCACACUGGGACUGAGAUACGGCCCAGACUCCUACGGGAGGCAGCAGUGGGGGAUAUUGCACAAUGGGCGCAAGCCUGAUGCAGCGACGCCGCGUGAGGGAUGACGGCUUUCGGGUUGUAAACCUCUUUCGCUACCGAACAAGGCUCCAUUUUUGUGGGGUUGAGGGUAGGUGGAUAAGAAGCGCCGGCUAACUACGUGCCAGCAGCCGCGGUAAUACGUAGGGCGCGAGCGUUGUCCGGAAUUAUUGGGCGUAAAGAGCUCGUAGGCGGCUUGUCGCGUCUGCUGUGAAAACGCGGGGCUUAACUCCGCGCGUGCAGUGGGUACGGGCAGGCUAGAGUGUGGUAGGGGUGAUUGGAAUUCCUGGUGUAGCGGUGGAAUGCGCAGAUAUCAGGAGGAACACCGAUGGCGAAGGCAGGUCACUGGGCCAUUACUGACGCUGAGGAGCGAAAGCAUGGGGAGCGAACAGGAUUAGAUACCCUGGUAGUCCAUGCCGUAAACGUUGGGCACUAGGUGUGGGGCCUGUUUCCACGGGUUCUGCGCCGUAGCUAACGCAUUAAGUGCCCCGCCUGGGGAGUACGG
rnacentral:rRNA from 1 species